UUGUAACGCGUAAAAUGAAAACAGAUCGAGCUUAGCUUGUCGAUAAACACAAACAAGUUCAUAGCUCCAGAAAUGAUGCAACUUUUUAUUUGUUGAUGUCUUCAAGUAUCAGUUUUAUCAAUAUUGGUCCACAGAUGUAUGAAGAACUAAUCAAUUUAGGGUCUACAUAUUCACACACCCAACUCCCUAUUUCCACACCCUUCAAGACGCCUCGUAUAGGCCUAUACGAGGCGUCUAGGGUUACUUUAUCCAACCAACCACUGAACCUCGUACAACGUCACAUCAGUCACAUCAGACGGGGCAUCUAGGCCGGUAUGAGGGAGCAAUACGAAGGUACUAAGACGCCUCGUAUAGCCCUAUACGAGGCGUCUUAAAGACUGAUGUGACUAUGUGUCUGGCAUGUGACAUAAAGCAAUAUGGGGCGUCUAGAGCUAUACGAGGCGUCUAUGUUUCAUAUAAAGAGCAAGUUACAGUGCAUUGUUGGUCCACCCGAGCAUUCCUUCUGUUUCUUCUACUAUCUCUUCGAAACAAACUUUUGUUGUUUGCAUUCGUGUUCUUAUCAUUGUGAAUUGUUGAAAUGUCAUCAUACUGGGACGACAACUAUGUCUUUGGGCAGUAUUCUAGCGACGCCUGGGUGCCCAAAAGCGUUCCGGCAACAGUUAUUAGCUUAACUGUUUUAAUUACUUGUUGUUUUAGUUAAUUAUUUACUAAUGAUGAUACCAUUUUUUUGAAGGAGUCUGGCGUUCCCGAUUCUAACCAGCAAGAGGAGGUUGUGUUUAGUAUACAAGGAAAACAAAAUAGACCAUUUCUAGAUUUGAACAUGCAUCCCCCUGUUGAUGAAACAUCCCUGUAGAUGACUCAUAUCAUGCUGGUCAACCAAGUUAUCCGGUGCAACAAGGGCAUCCGGAUUAUGGAUACGGGUGUGAAUAUUCUUACGUGCAACAACAUUAUCCUGAUGGAUACGUAGGAGACGGUGGUCAUCAGCAAUUCAUUUCCCCGGGCGGUCCUUACGUUCAACAAAACAAUCCGGACGUUGGAGGAUAUGGUGGAUAUGGUGGUGAGGCACCCCCCAUCCCGGAUAAUCCGUACUUAAAAAAACAGGUUUUCAACUCUUUAGAUGAACUAAAGAAACGGAUACAAGAAAUAGCAAACGCGGAUGGUUUCGUUAUUGUCACCCGUCGAUCAAAGAAAAUCGGGGGAAGGACCGGGAGGGUAUGGCUUGAAUGUGACCGUGGUGGUGAGCACCGCAUUACAACAACACUUAGAAAAGCCGGAAGCAAAAAAAACCGGUUGCCCGUUUUACCUGCUGGUUGUGCCAGACCACCCGUAUGAAACCUGGGAGAUAAAAGAGGGAAAAAUUGAACAUAACCACGAACUUUGUAAGGACAUGUCGGCCCACGCGUUUGUGCGAAAGGUUUACUCCAAGUGAAAAGAAACUGAUCUAGCAGCUGACAGCUCAAAACAUGGAGCCGCGCAAAAUUUUUCAAACGAUAAGGAAAUAGGACCCCGACAGGUUUCAUGUUCAGAAAGACGUUCAAAACGUUGUGGCGAAGAUUAGAGCCGAACAAAGAGACGGAUUGACUCCCAUGCAGUCACUAGAAAACGUGCUGAUAAACAACGAAUUUAUUUACGAGACACGGGAGGAACCCGGAACAGAGGUCGUAACAGAGAUCUUCUUUCUUCAUCGGUACUCGAGAGACAUAUGGCGUGCAUUCCCCCACGCCUUGCUGAUCGAUUCGACGUACAAGACAAACAUAUACAAUAUGCCAUUUGUCCAGAUUGUUGGUAUGACGCCUACUAACCAUUCGUUUUGUAUCACGCAUGCCGUUGUAUGUAAAGAACAGAGUGAUAACUUUUUGUGGGUGCUUGAGAGGAUCAAGUCAAUGUUGGAUGAAUGUAUGGAGCCACGUGUGAUUGUAACGGGUAGAGACCUGGCCCUUAUGGGCGCGUGUGCUAAAGUAAUUCCAGACGCCUCCAGGCUUCUUUGCAGGUUUCACAUACAACAGAAUAUUAUGAAGCACUGCAAGAGUGCCUUCACAGAAGAAGACUGGGAAAAAUUUUUGGCAUUCUGGGGGUCAUUGUGUGAGUCUCCAUCCAUACCCAUCUACAAGUACCACUUGCGCAACCUGUAAAAGCAACUUGUGGAGUGCAAACGUUCAAGGGUCUUCAAUUACGUGUAUGAUAACCGGCUAAAAGACUAUAAGUAGAUGUUCGUCUUUGCGUGGACUGAUAAGAGGCACAACUUUGGUAAUCGUACCACAAACAGAGUUGAGAGCCAACACGCCAACUUAAAGAGAUACGUCCAUGAUAGGAGCUCGCUGGACCGUAUAGUUGGUUUUGUCUGGGAUAUAGUUGAGACAUAGUACGGUGAAAUAAGGAAGAGUUUUCGAGACAACACCGAAAAAAUAAUGAACCACCACAGACACCCGCUGUUUCAACACCUACUUGGAAGAGUAUCCCAUACAGCCCUAGACUUGUUGAGUGGAGAUGUAACAUUUGUGCUUGUAAUCGUUGUGAACAGUUCAGUUAUCAAUAAAACAAUGUUAUUUGAUCCCAA